GCUCGUCUCGAUUCGAUCAAAACAUUGGGCGCAUCUACACAAUCAAACGAGAUACGGUGCUAAUCCGAUUUUUGAAUGGAAAUUUAUUUCGACCGUCAAAAACGAUCAAUCAUGCGAGAAAUUUUGGAGUACAAAUAUGUUUUGAACGCAAUAAUAGAUCACUCUACCUGGCUAAUUAUAUUGUAAACGACGGUUUACAGUUGCUUUUUCGAAGAAAUGAUGAAUAGUCAGCUCGUCGUAAAAACAAAAAAUAUGACAUUUAAUGAUCUCUCGCGUGUUUUCUCAAACAUAUAAACUGUUCCAAGACGUCCAUUUUGUUGUUUUGCAGCAAUAAGGAGUCAAAGUAUACAUCCCUAACGUCGUAAUCGAAAUUUGAAUAUUCAAUGAGUACUCAUUAAGUAUUCACAAGGCCAGACAGAAUGACUAUUUUGGUCAUUUUAGUGAUUUAUUUUACAUUGUUCGGUUGCCUGAACGUCGGCAUUUAAAAAAUGACCAAAAUGCACAUCUGUGCUUUUCAAGCGACAGCGUUAGACAUAACAACACUGGCUGACAGGCUGUAAAAGGUAGCAGUAGCAGCAGCAGCAGCAGCACAGGGCGUCCUUUUGUGUGCUUGAGGAGCUGUAUGAUGUCACUUGAGUGAACCUUGGCCUCAGUUUCAUGGACUGUGUGACAUUUGAACAGGCAUCAGUCAACGCUUCUGAACCUGCGCUUUGAAAUGGCAUUCCUGGUUCCAUGUUAAAUUAAGAUCUACAAUGACAGACACAACAUUUUCUCCAAAGCGCAUGUUCAGAAGCAGUGAGUGAUGUUGUUGUCAGCUUCCACGUGUGUCAGUGUUGUGCAGUCCAUGCUUGUCAAGCAGACAACACGGCGUCCUCUGCUGCUGGCUUAACUUUUGUUACAAUUUCGACCAUUUUUUUGUAGAUUUUUGCGUGUUGUCAUCUCUAAAUCAAUGACAAAGCAUAAAAAUUGUGUGACAUGAAAUAUUCCAAUUCAUGUUUUAUGUACAUAGACAUCGAUAUUUGUUUUGGUCAUGGCACAGUACCGCUUUUAUUGUCCAUAGAGAGCAAAAAUACAACAAAAAACUCCGACGUGUAUGUAUAGCGCUGAUGCCACUGAACAUGUCAAGUGGUUGAAAGUAAAAUAAAUAUUUAGGAAUAAUACUUUUACGAGUUUUUAAAAAAUUGUAUGUUGAAUUAAAAGGAGAGAUGCCGACGCUCGUUCCUACUGACUGCUGUCAGGCUGCUGACUAAAAAUAAUAAUAAUAAUAAUAUGAUGUGAAAGACAAUUGUAAAUAGCAGUGCGAUUUAUCCAUUUUGUGUUUAUAUUGCACAUUAUAUAAAAUUAUUGACAUCAACUGCAGCACAAGGGUUAAAUGUAUUGCCUGUCAGCCAGUGUCGGUGUUAAACUUGAGUCAAGCUUUGUUGCUAAAAUGAUGUGAAAUUGUUUUUAAAAAGUGCUUGUCAAUAUAUUGUCCGGCAGGAAUCAGAGUCUGCGUGUUUUGUGUCUCACCGAGUUUAAUUAAAGCGGCCUUGUUAUGGACGGCAACCGGAGUUGUUGGGGUUUUGUCCUGGAAGACGUUUGGCCUCUGGUCCGAGCAGACUUCUUGGAUUGAUGCUCAAGGCCAAAAAGGGCGAGCUGUCCUUUCUGGCGUUUGCGCAUGAACCCAGGAAACCUGCUCGGUCCAGAGGCCAAACGUCUUCCAGGACAAAACCCCAACAAUUCCGGUUGCCGUCCGUAACCACACGCACUUUACCAUGCAGGACCAGAAUUUUUAUGUCAAUUUGUUUGCAGACCCCGCCCAAGAUUGCAGAAAUCAACCAAUCACAAUGCGGCAUGCAAAUUUUCCCCCGCAUAACCCCGCCCACACAAGUCCGGAGGAACCAAUCAGGUUGUGGCAUGCAAAUUUUAUUUGCAUAUGCCACGCCCAGUCGCCCCAAAUUUUAAUAUGCAAAUAGAUCUGCAUGCCCCCGCCCCACCUGAUUAGCAUACCCAAUCAGAUCCCAGCAUGCAAAUUUAUUUGCAUAACCACGCCCACAAUCGCCAGGAGCGGCCAAUCAAAAGAAGGCAUGCAAAUUAAUUUGCAUAGCCACGCCCACUUUGAGCAAAAUUUUGGGGUUUUAUUUGCGUGGCCCCGCCCACACUGGCACCAGCCAAUCAGGAGUGUGGUAUGUAAAUAUAAUUUGCAUGACCCCGCCUACAUUAACCGGGUCCGGCCAAUCAGAUGGUGGCAUGUAAAUUUUAUUUGCAUAGAUUCCGCCCAGCUCACCGUUUUGCAUGGCCACGCCCCAAAUUACCAGCCAACCAAUCACAAUGGGGCAUAAAAUUUUAUUUGCAUAGCCCCGCCCACAAGCGCCCACUUCAACCAAUCAGUGCUUUAUCACAACAUAUUUGCAUAACUCCACCCACCCACAGGAUUCGCAUAACCACUCCCAUAAUGCUAAUUUAUACUCAUUAGCAUAGCCCCGCCCACUCACAACAGCCAAUCGGAUUGCUCCGUAUUUGCAUAGCCACACCCCCAAUCCUACCCACUUUUUUAAAUGAAGGAAGGAGAGGUUUGUUCUCAUUUUAUUUUACAUGUUUAAAGAAAACAUCAGUCAAAGUAAAAAAAAAGUCAAAGUAAAAAAAAAGUCAAAGUAAAAAAAAAGUCAAAGUAAAAAAAAAGUCAAAGUAAAAAAAAAGUCAAAGUAAAAAAAAAGUCAAAGUAAAAAAAAAGUCAAAGUAAAAAAAAAGUCAAAGUAAAAAAAAAGUCAAAGUAAAAAAAAAGUCAAAGUAAAAAAAAAGUCAAAGUAAAAAAAAAGUCAAAGUAAAAAAAAAGUCAAAGUAAAAAAAAGUUAGCGUUAAAAUGACAAAAAAGUGUUUAAAAAUAUUACUCACCGAAAAUGUUGAAGUUGGAUGACUUUGCAGCCUUCUACUUUUCGUUGCCUGGCGAAGUCAGCCUGUGUGACAGCAGCGCUGGACUAACACGUGGACCUGAGACAAAAAUGAGAUUGGCGAGUCUCGAGUCACCUUGUGCAGGAAAUGCAAUUUCAAAUGUGAUCAAACUCACCAGCACAGAAGGUGAUGCCACACAAGUUGUCUGGGACUCUGACCAAGUGCUCGCACGUUCAGCUCCUGUGCAACAAACAAUAUGGCGUCAAAGAAGGACUAAAAACUGUCAAGCAUUCAAAACUUACUGCCCAUUGUGGAACCUCUUCCAGCCGAUUGCAUCAAGCCAAGUGUUGGACGACAGUCGCCGCCUGGUGAAGGGGACCCAAGAAAAAGGACACCGGCUUACAGCGCAUUUCUGGAGGGAGACGAGCCAGGGAGAUGUCCAACCGCUUCCGAGGGCCUCAGACUGGACAAGCCUGAACACAAACAGGAGCAGGUGCAGACUCCACGAUGGCACCAACUGGAUGCUUCUCUGCACAGUCAAAAAGAAAAAGGAAAAAAAACAGAAGGGGGGAAAAAAAUGCUCGUUUGCGUCUUGGCUCAUCUCAGAACGUUGAUCAUAACGUUACGGUCUGUCCACCACCUGCAACAACAAACGAUACCUUUUUAAAAAAUCUGUCUUUUCCAACAGAAGCAUCACUGGCGAAAACGAACAGUACUUGAGCCUGUCCACCGUCUCCCGGAGUGGAUGCCGAUUCAGGUUCUCCGGGGCCAACAGCUGCUUUGGCGCCGCCUAGUGGACACGAGCAGAAAGACAACAUUAGUACAGGAUGUUAAAUGUACCUUUUUAAACUGUCCAGAGAGACAUUCGUCCCGUUGCAGCUUUGGGGGAACCUGCAAAAGAUAAAAUGUUAAAAAAUGGUCACGUCAGCCAUUUUGCUUUGCCGCUUGCUCAAACCCAGCAGACUGCCUCAUUCGCGGUCGUCUUAUUCCUAGGGCAGCUCUGGUUGCAGCUCCGUUUCACCUGUGCACACACAAAAGUGACGUCAGCGAGACGAAUUGAAGUCAUUUACGAUGUCCUUCCCUUCCUCCAGCAGCAAAACAGCAACUUGAGGUCAGACUCUCAGAUUUCUUUCAAGACGUCUGGGGAGCGCAGUUUGCAAUGAGGUAGUUGUGAAGGAAAAAAAUUAAGAAAAUUGCACACUUUUUGUUUUUGGUUCCAACCUGAAUCACGUCAUCACUCGAAGCCUCCUGUAAGCUCAUCUUCAUGUGCUGAAAAAUUAAAACAUGAUUUCAGAGUUGUA